GGGUUGUGAGGUUAAGCGACUAAGCGUACACGGUGGAUGCCCUGGCAGUCAGAGGCGAUGAAGGGCGUGCUAAUCUGCGAUAAGCGCCGGUAAGGUGAUAUGAACCGUUAUAACCGGCGAUACCCGAAUGGGGAAACCCAGUGUGACUCGUCACACUAUCAUUACGUGAAUACAUAGCGUAAUGAAGCGAACCGGGGGAACUGAAACAUCUAAGUACCCCGAGGAAAAGAAAUCAACCGAGAUUCCCCCAGUAGCGGCGAGCGAACGGGGAGGAGCCCAGAGCCUGAAUCAGCAUGUGUGUUAGUGGAAGCGUCUGGAAAGGCGCGCGAUACAGGGUGACAGCCCCGUACACAAAAGCGCAUGUGCUGUGAGCUCGAUGAGUAGGGCGGGACACGUGGUAUCCUGUCUGAAUAUGGGGGGACCAUCCUCCAAGGCUAAAUACUCCUGACUGACCGAUAGUGAACCAGUACCGUGAGGGAAAGGCGAAAAGAACCCCGGCGAGGGGAGUGAAAAAGAACCUGAAACCGUGU
rnacentral:rRNA from 1 species